rnacentral:rRNA from 1 species
CCUACGGGAGGCAGCAGUGGGGAAUUUUGGACAAUGGGCGCAAGCCUGAUCCGGCCAUGCCGCGUGCGGGAAGAAGGCCUUCGGGUUGUAAACCGCUUUUGUCAGGGAAGAAAUCCUUUGAGUUAAUACCUCGGAGGGAUGACGGUACCUGAAGAAUAAGCACCGGCUAACUACGUGCCAGCAGCCGCGGUAAUACGUAGGGUGCGAGCGUUAAUCGGAAUUACUGGGCGUAAAGCGUGCGCAGGCGGUUAUGCAAGACAGAUGUGAAAUCCCCGGGCUCAACCUGGGAACUGCAUUUGUGACUGCAUAGCUAGAGUACGGUAGAGGGGGAUGGAAUUCCGCGUGUAGCAGUGAAAUGCGUAGAUAUGCGGAGGAACACCGAUGGCGAAGGCAAUCCCCUGGACCUGUACUGACGCUCAUGCACGAAAGCGUGGGGAGCAAACAGGAUUAGAUACCCUGGUAGUCCACGCCCUAAACGAUGUCAACUGGUUGUUGGACGGCUUGCUGUUCAGUAACGAAGCUAACGCGUGAAGUUGACCGCCUGGGGAGUACGGCCGCAAGGUUGAAACUCAAADGAAUUGACGG